ACUACAUUUUUCCUUCUCCUUUGUAGUUAGGUGCGGCUUCGUGACUGAGUUCUGAACAAAGGAAUAUGGAGAUUACCUCUGUCAUUCUCUCCUUCCCUCUCAUGUCAGCAAGGCAGAUGGAGAGGACUCAAAAGAUGGUUCUGAGGCCCUAAAGCAGAAAUUCCUACGGAAAUGGGCCGUGAGGCAAGGAGCUUCCUGUGCUAUGCAAAAUCCCACUGCAACGUACUGCCGCCCCCCAAGCCCAGAAACAGUGGAGCCAACCAGCCAAGGACAAAACCUCCAAAACUAUAUCAAAAAAGGUUUUGGGAACGGAUUGAGGGCUUCUCCCACAUUUCCCUAAGACCCCUUACCAUGUCAGAUGUCAACUGCAGCAGACUCUGCUUGGGAAGAUGACAAGAGGGAUCACCUUGGGCCCUUGCGCUUGCAAGGCAGGCGG